CAUCAUACCACAACGGCAUAUCAUCCGACAGCUAAUGGGUCCCCAUCGGAAACCCCUUCAAGCACCUUAUUCAGGUCCAUACAGGGUGCUGCGACGCGAGGAGAAAACCUUUGACAUCGACGUACAAGGCAAAACGCAGCGAAUCAGCAUAGACAGACUGAAACCAGCUUACAUACUCGCUGAGGACCAGACAGACCAGAAUAUCAAAGUUCAGGAGAAGUCUGAUGCCAUCCCUGCCAGUAAAACCAGGAGUGGUAGAGUGGUCAGAUUCCCAAACUACUAUCGCCCGUAGUCACGGUCUCGGCGGGGGAGUA